GUGGAAGCAGGGAGACUGGUUGGGAGGCUGUUGCAAUAAUUCAGAUGAAAAAUGAUGGUGGCUUGGGCCAGCAUGGUGCAGCAGAGGUGGUGAGAAGUGUAGGUGGUGUGCAGUACAGCAGAAGAAUCAUCUACUGGUUUGUAAGGGAAGGAUCACAAAGCAUGGACACAGAGUGUAUCCAAACAUAGGCAAUAGUAUAGCUCCAUCUGAACCCCACUCAGUUGACCCCAAAAAGGUCACGCUGUUCUUGUGGCUACAGUACAGGGACAUCAUGUUGAUGAGACAGAUGACUUUUUAGAAUUUUCAAGUUCAGAAAAUUGCAUACCUAAGAAGCUGAUGUUAAUGCAAGCAAACAAAGGAUU
rnacentral:lncRNA from 1 species